GCCUUACGAGCACUAUGAGACAUGCAGGAGAAGAAUGCACUUAGCAACUGCAAUUGCAAAGAAAGGGGGGGGGGGGGCGUUAAAUGUGCAGUGACAUGGCAAAAUCUCUCCUGGGCUUUCCACACACGCCCUUGAGCCCCUAUUCUCCACCCUCAUCCAUGAUGUCAGGAGGUUUUUUUUUUUGUUUCUUUUGGGCUGUGAUGUCUUGACUCAACCCAUUAGUUUAAAUAGUGACACAGUGCACACAGGUGUCACAUCUUUACCUGGGAUCCUGCUCAGAACAUCUCCCUCGCAAGCAGUCCACCUGUACGCCACGCCUGACAGGAUCCUCAUUUCAAGGAACUGCACUGCUUUUCACUUCUUAUCCCUAUUUCUCCCAUCACUGGAACUGAAGAUAGGAUCUACAGCUAUGGACAACAGACUAGUCCUCACAGUCCUGCUCGUGACACUGUCGUGGCUAUCCGUGGGCACCUACGCGCAAAGCACGGCCACGAGCGCAGCACCAGGAAACAACAUGACCACGGCAUCAGGAAACAACAUGACCAUGGCACCAGGAAACAACAUGACCACAGCACAAGUAAACAUGACCGCAGCACCAGUAAACAUGACCACAGCACAAGUAAACAUGACCGCAGCACCAGCGGCUUCCCCACUGACAGCCAACACCACAGUGGAAAAUCUUGAGACAACUAUUAACAGAACAGGAUGUGGGACCGAGCAGCUCUGUGCAGCUGAGCCUGCUUCGUGCGACCCCGCUGUUGCAGGAUCAUGCUUCUUUCUCUCUGCUAGGCAGACGAGCGGUCAAAAUUUUGAGUUUGGGCUCUCAGGAGAGGCAGAUGGCUACAUCGCUGCCACACUGUCAAGUGACAGCAAUUUGGGCGGCAACGACACAACCUACAUCUGUGCGAACAACAACAGUGUUGUGGCAUUCUUUUCUGCUCUCCUCAACAAUGGCAUGCUGACACUGUCAGAGCUGAAUGUGAACAACGUGAGGGGCAGGGUCACUGGAAAUAGGAUCCAGUGUACAUUCGCUGCCACCGUACCAGAUACUAGUGUAACUUCUAGAUCAAACAGAGCAGCAAGUCUAGCACUCGCAAUCUCCACUGGACCUUUCAACAGCACUUCUGGUGCUCUGGGAGCCCCAACCACCCGACUACUGAGUCCUGUUGUAAACCUGGCCAAUCCUAACACCACCGUCGUCAAUCAGAUUUCGACAACCACCAACGCCCCCACCACUUCCUCUACCACCACUUCCUCUCCCAUCACUUCCACUCCCACCGCUCCCACUCCCACCAUGACCACCAACCACGCCAUCACAUUCCAGCAAUCACUGAUGCAAGCCAUGCUGAUAGCUGCCGGUGUGCUGGCUCUCUUCAUGCUAUGAGGAACCCCUCAUGAGUCAAGACAAGAAACUCGUUAUUGACUUAUUUAAAUAAAUGUCAGUGUUGCCUCUGUAGUCAUUCAGCAGUGGUGAACCCUGCUAUAAUGAAAAAAAUAGAAAUUAAUGUGAUAAAUUAGCCUUCCAUUCCCACCAAACGCUAAUAGGUAUUUAGAUUUAGCUCUCUUCAGCCGAAGUUAAACUGACCCAAAAAUGACUCCCACCCACCACUGUUAACAAAGAAUUACAGGGGAAACAUCACAUGUGUAAUGGAAUAUAGUCUGUUAAGCAUCUCGCAGGAGCUUGAUUAAACACAGUUCAGCCCAGGUUAUCAGGAUUCGUUUUGUAUCAACUCACAGCAGGGAAAGUAGGACUGGUGGAGGGGGGUCACUCUUUGACAGCCUUUCUGCAGACUGCUUUCACAACUGUAACAGGCUCUGAAACAAACAGGUGAAUCCAAUUUGAAGAAUUUUUAAUUGUAACUUGUGUUACUUGUUUUUGAAUGUUUUCUGACCAAAGGACAGCUGGAUUAUUGUCUUAAAAGUUACUGAAUUGCUGGCCAAACAUCUAUGACAGAUGUACAAAUAGCUACAAUUAGACACAAAUGGCAAUUUAAAUUACAAUUACAACCAUAAAGAGCCAUACAGAAAAUUUAGGGUUUGAGGUCUGGUUACCUUUUACUCCCACAUUUAUUAAUGUCAGUAAAAACCUCAUGAUUCGGUAACAAGAUCAGUUGGUAAAUCACAACAGUGCAUUCAUGUCAAAACCUUUUGUCAAAAGCUGAAGUACUAAUGAAGGACUUUUUUGUUAAUCAUGAUGUUCUUUUGUUUCCCUACACAAUGGUUAGAUGUGACUUUUGUAAAGGACCAUAAUUAUUUUUCAUUUUGGGUGUGUCACUAGGCAUUCACAAUCAAAAAAUAUGUGUUGUCCUUUUGUGUCACUCACAGUGGUGUCAGAAAAUGGCAGAUAUGUCCGUUUUCUCAUUAUGUUAUUAGUAUAUUGAUGUUAUUCUCUUUAGUGUGAAUGUACAUAUCUUGGAUGUUUCAUCAAUGCUUUUACAAUGAAGCCUUCACUGGCUGAUAUUUUCAUGUGCGCAUGUUAUGAGUAAGUGCACAUUCAAGUGAGCAGUUGCUUAUAAAGAAAGUUAUGAUAUGAUACCAAAUAUUGGUGAAAUUGAUUUUGCAUAUUGCAUUAUGUAACAACUGCAUUUUUAUUACAUAUUUUUGAAAUAAAUAUUUUACCCAAACUGAUUAUCUUUGUGGAAUAAAUAGGCUACAUUAAAACUGACACUGAAAUUAUAGCAGCAGGCCUUCUUGGCAUUUGUAACUUUCUUGAUUUGAAUUCCCGUGAAAUAUGUUUUCAGCAUCAGUUCAUUGGAAUAUGCUGACAAAAAGCAGUCGUAUAAUCAACAAUCAUAUAUGGGGAUUUCAGAAUAUUCAAAAGGUAAAGAUAGGACAUGAAAGUAUAGUGAAAGCAUUAAUGUGUUAAUUACAGGAUGACAAAUACCAAUUAUUUAAAAUGUUGAGCAAUCUCUCGACUAUGUUCUCUUGUAUAAUCAUUAAGUUGUUUUGUUGCCUCCCAAAGCCCAAAAAUAAAUCCUCAAAUGUCUUGUUUUGUCCACAGCCCACAUUAUUCAUAAAGGAGUAAAUAACACACACAUUUUUGCACUUGAGAAGCUUAUACCAGAUUUUUUUUUCUUCUUGAAAAGUUACACAAACCAAUUGUGAAUCAAAAUAAGUAGAUGAGAAGUAAUUGAUUUACUGUUGCAGCUCUAGUUAAUAACACAAAUGUCC
ensembl:lncRNA